rnacentral:rRNA from 1 species
UACGUAGGUGGCGAGCGUUGUCCGGAUUCAUUGGGCGUAAAGGGCGUGUAGGCGGCGCCGUAAGUCGGGUGUGAAAUCUCGGGGCUUAACUCCGAAACUGCAUUCGAUACUGCGGUGCUUGAGGACUGGAGAGGAGACUGGAAUUCAUGGUGUAGCAGUGAAAUGCGUAGAGAUCAUGAGGAAGACCAGUGGCGAAGGCGGGUCUCUGGACAGUUCCUGACACUGAGACACGAAGGCCAGGGGAGCAAACGGG